rnacentral:lncRNA from 1 species
CCUGCAUGGUGUGUGAAGACCUAGGCGCCUGUCUAGGGUGGCAGCAAGCAUCAAUUAUCUGACCAGUAUGCUGGGCACAUCGCUUCACCCACAGGAGCGUCCUCUUCCUUGUCUGAAAGCGAGGGUGGUCAUCCUCACCAGGCUGGGGCAAAGGAGGGGGCUGAAGGCCAGGGGCCGGCAGGGAGCAGACACCUGCCACGUUUCUUCCCUUUCUGCCCGCUGCAGUCACUGCUGAGCCACACACAGCUCUGCACACUGGGCGAGGACGACCCCUUCAGUGUGCCCGGGACAGUGGCCGCCCACCUUGGGGAGCAGCCGGCCGGAGACCUGGCCUGACGAGCAGCUCGGUGUGGGAGCCUGCUCCCACGUCCCCGCCAGGCGCCUUGUUGACCCAGGUGUGACUUCCUGGGAUGGGCUCUGAAGGAAUUGGAUGCAGCAGCACCGGAGAGGCGAUUAUCCAGAAUUGCUAAAAAGUUUACUGGAGCUGGAAGGAAACUUGAAGCUCAGGGCCAGGCGGGCCUCAGCCGAGCGCAGUGGGCCUCAGGACCGCUACAGAGAACCCAGUUCAAGCGAGGGGCACGACAUGGACUCUGAGAACUGCCACAGGGCUUUCCUUUACAGCCUGUCGACGGCAGCUUUGGACGGACCACGUUCCUAUUUUCAAUACAGUCCCGGUGACCAAUUUCUCAUUUUAUGGUUAGCACUUCUUGAGCACUGUUUCAGGAAAUCUUUACCUCUAAAAGCCCGGUUUUUUUCACCUUUCACACUUAGAUCUGCAAUCCACAGGGAAUGGAUUUUCAUGCCUCGUGGGAGGCACAGGUCGCAAUACGUUUUUCCCAUGUGAAUGCCCAGUUCACCCAGAAUUGUUAACGGAAAGAUCGCGUCCCCCCAUGCAAUGGGCUUCUCUUUCUUGUCUUUUAUACAUUCUGGAUUGUUAGAAGUAAUUACAACGAUAUUAUAUCAUCUUGUAAUUUAGAUGUGUACAUAUGACAAUAUUAAUAAUUGUUCAAAAGAUUAGAAACAGUUCAGAUGCCCUCCUUCGGGGGUCAGAUUAAACCAUUCAUGACUACACGCAGAUAACAGCCCGCCACCGAGCCACUGAAAAGGCUGGAGUAGAUCCGUGUGCGCUGACGCGGAUGGGCU